rnacentral:rRNA from 1 species
AUUGAACGCUGGCGGAAUGCUUUACGCAUGCAAGUCGAACGGCAGCACGGGGGCAGCCCUGGUGGCGAGUGGCGAACGGGUGAGUAAUACAUCGGAACGUGCCCGGUCGUGGGGGAUAACGUAGCGAAAGUUACGCUAAUACCGCAUACGAUCUGAGGAUGAAAGCGGGGGACCUUCGGGCCUCGCGCGAUCGGAGCGGCCGAUGUCAGAUUAGGUAGUUGGUGGGGUACAGGCCUACCAAGCCGACGAUCUGUAGCUGGUCUGAGAGGACGACCAGCCACACUGGGACUGAGACACGGCCCAGACUCCUACGGGAGGCAGCAGUGGGGAAUUUUGGACAAUGGGCGCAAGCCUGAUCCAGCCAUUCCGCGUGCAGGACGAAGGCCUUCGGGUUGUAAACUGCUUUUGUACGGAACGAAAAGGCUCUGGCUAAUACCUGGGGCUCAUGACGGUACCGUAAGAAUAAGCACCGGCUAACUACGUG